CCCUUAGAUGUUCUGGGCCGCACGCGCGCUACACUGAUGCAUUCAACGAGCCUAUCCUUGACCGACAGGUCCGGGUAAUCUUUGAAUCUGCAUCGUGACGGGGAUAGAUUAUUGCAAUUAUUAAUCUUCAACGAGGAAUGCCUAGUAGGCGCAAGUCAUCAGCUUGCGUCGAUUGCGUCCCUGCCCUUUGUACACACCGCCCGUCGCUCCUACCGAUUGGGUGUGCUGGUGAAAUGUUCGGAUCGGCCGUUUGUCGCGGUUUCCGCGUCAUGUGGCUGAGAAGUUCAUUAAACCCUCCCACCUAGAGGAAGGAGAAGUCGUAACA
rnacentral:rRNA from 1 species